CCUUGGCCGAAUACAUCUCAGUGUACAUAGAUUGAAACCGAAGUGUGGCUAAGGAAUUGGUGCAGCAAAACGGAUCUUGCUCCAGACAUUGCUUUUCAUUUUAUGUUGCUGGGUGCUUUAAGGAUAUUGUAUGUGGUCUCCGGGCUUCAACACUCCACGCAGUGCGCUACUCUUCCAACCCUCAAUAAAUCACGGGUUUGCACGCUUUUUUAACUGCCUUCCGGUCCGGCUACGGCCUACUUGCUUGUCGGCGAUGGGAGUUUUCUUUAAACCGCGCCAUCUGCUGUGUUGCAGCAUGUGUUUGUGGGGGUUGCUUCCUUUGGUUGUUGGUACCGGCGCCGGAAUCAGCGGAAGUCGUUCGAUAGCGUCGCGUCCCAUAGUCCCCGUAAGCUCGGCGGGAUCGAAUGAAUCAGGGACCUACACGGACGAUAUGUUGUCGCAGACGUUUGUCGACGUGGGACAGAAUGGUUCAUUGCUGGGCGAACAACUCCUAACAUUGGAAGAGCAACCGUCGCAGCAUCAUCAUCGUUCGUCCAGUGGUCCGUUGCAUGCCACAAGUGGACGGUCUGUACCGUAUGCCUCAUCCAGCAUCAGUGCUAGCCAUGGUCGCCACCACACCGAUCGCCAUAAUGCACGCAGCACCAACGGAACAACUAACGACACGACCUUCCGAGUGCUACUGAGCCCUUCUUCUACGCAAAAGAAGAAUGGAGCGGAGGGACACGAUGGUUUGAGCUCUAGUAGCAGUACCACUACUGCCAAAGCUGAUGUUGAUCACUGGCCAUGGAUGUUCCUUGGUUGGGUCUCCGGACCCGACUGCUUCGCCCACAGCCAGCAUGAGCAUCUGUAUUACCAAAUUGGCCAUGCGCUCUUCCUGAUCGCCUUUCUCGGUCCGAACAGUGUGUAUGGAGUCCUAUGGUUGCGAUGCCUAGCCCUGGCCGGUUGCGUGCUGAUGCUGCUGUGGGGUUGGCUCGUAGUCUGCAGCUUCGAUGUGAUCGGUUGGUUUAGCCUCUUUUUUGCCGUCAACGCGCUGUACGUGAUAGUGUUACUAUGUCGUUUGCGACCGGUCAAGUUUGAUAAGGAAAUCGAAUCGGUGUACGUCGCCCUGUUUGAGCCGCUACGCGUGUCGCGUUACCAGUUCAAGAAGGUACUUAACUGCAUGAAGAUGGUACGCUCGCUCAAGUACCAGGAGAUCUACGCCCUGGAAAAAGUAACCAAAGUCGAUAGCCUAUCGCUUGUGCUGUCGGGCAAACUAGUAGUAUCACAGAAUCUAAAAGCGCUUCAUAUAGUAUUUGCCCGCCAGUUUCUCGAUACACCCGAAUGGUUCGGUGUGCCAACCGACGAUUAUUUUCAGGUAUCCAUAAUGGCAAUGGAAGAGUCCCGGGUGCUUGUUUGGCACCGGGACAAGCUGAAAUUGUCGAUCAUGACCGACCCGUUCCUGCAAACCGUUUUCGAGCACAUCCUGAGUCGGGACGUGGUGAAAAAGUUGUUGCAGGUGACACAGAUAAGCGAGAAAAUGGCUCAGAGCAACAACUGCAUCACAUCGACCGACGACAGCGAUGACAAGCCAAUGCUGGUUGCAAAGAGUAAAAUCUCCGAUAACGCGGGGCACUGCAUCACCGCCGCCAUCAAUCGACAGCUCCAAGGUGAAAGUGCGCCACUACUGUGUGGUUCGCCAGUAGACAACCCAUUGCUGGCGAUCGAAAUGAAAAAAAUGCAUACACCGACGGUGACUAUGGCGAUGAAGGGGAUGAAGGUGGUACCCGUUGGAUAUGAAGCGGCUUUAAUUUUGCGCGAUCCCGAAGGGCUCCGUCGUGGCAAAUGGUUGUAGGCACUCGAAAUUAACCUAUUGUGCACUUGGUGCAUUCAAACGAAAUCGCCUGUAAAUGGAGAGCGGGACCUGUUACGAGAGAGAUUAAAAUGACGUGCAUCUAGUUACUUGACGCGUGCAACACUAUGUGACACGCUACUUCGCGAAUCCCAAAAAUCUAACCUUAUACUAACGAUAAAUAUGCUGUGCGGAUUGUGGAUGCAGCUGCUCUGAUAGUGGAGUGCAGUACUUUAAGAGCUAAAACAAAACAGCGUGCAAAACCUAUGAGGCCAACAUGUAGUCCCUUGCGAGCUGCUUGCCAUUUCAUGAUAGUUAUACGAAUGUUAGCUUUAUUGCGUUUCAGUCCAGUAAGUACAACGUAUAUACGUUUACAGUGUUUCUUGUCUGUGCGCAUAGUUUUCCAUGCGUUUGUAAACAGCGAUGGUUGUCUUAUACCCUCUCACAGGCUGCCAUUUUUUCGUUUGGGAGGCAACAACACAUUGACACGUAUGGAUCACAUACGUAUACGUGUGUGUUUGUGUCCUAUAUUCACUUUCCGUCUUUCUUUUUCCACAUUCUGUUGGAAUUGGGGAGGUACUUUAAGUUUUUCAUGGUUCCAUCCACCGGUAACCGCCAUCAGCGAGCCACAGUGCAAUGUGCCAUACUGCUUAAAAUUCAACAAGCGUUCCUCCUCAUCGUUGUUGUUUUUUUGUCGUUGAAUAUUUGGAAUGGGUGACUGUAAAUGACCGGACCACAUUUGUGCUGUCCAUCUUUUGUUUACCAGUAAUACGUCACUACUAGUUUUAUCUCCUUGUUUAUUUCCGCCUUUACUGCUAUCUGCUGUCUGCUAUAUACUUUGACUACUUCUAUUAUUACUACUAUUACUACCAUUACCGCCACGAAAGCUCUUCCAAGGAUCUCGAAGUACUAUUACUGUGCAGUCGAUCAUAAUGCCUGGCGGCUAGGUCGAAUCGAUGAGAUUGAUCAUGAAACGGCGGUAUAGAGCGGCAUCCUAAAGAGCAUCCUACGGAUUCUAGCGAUGCGGCAUGUUUGAGAACGAUGGCGACGCGAAGGAUGCGAAACAACCCUUUCAACAAGUUAUGUGAUAAUAUUUAUGAAAUGGUGUUAUUUAUAAAACACAAACACGGAACAAGUACACAGAGAAAAUGCAACAAUACAGAUAAAAUGUAAACGUAAUCCCCUCCGCUGGACCCGUGGCAGAAGGGGGGGGGGGGGGGAAUCUAGGAAUAGCUAACAGCACCGUAAAACUCGGAUAUUCAAUUCGCAGCGGUAAUGGAUUUGGUAAUGCAUAAUGCAGUUGCAAGGACCAGCAUACAAAGAGCGCAUGCGGUAUUGUUACGCGAUUAUUUAACAGAAGAUGGAGUACAAUUUCAGGAAUCGAACCGAAACAAAAAAGCGUUUGAGUUGGUAGGCAAUAGAUCCAGGGACAGAUGAAGGGUUCUUAAAGGACAUCCGCCUAUAAUGUAUGCACCCGUCACUGCACAACUGCGUUUUGAGCGGUCGUUGAUGCUUAUGUGCUCGUCCGAAUGUGGUGCGCCCGUUUGCUUUACUAGUCACAUUCCUCGUUGAACCAAUCAGAGGGCAUCAUGGAAUGCUUUCGGCAUAGCUAUUUAUGGAUGUCGUUUCACUAUCGUCAGCUCAUAUUGCUUUCUUGAGUUGGUAGCAGACCAUUCCUGAUUUCUCUUAAGCUGUUUGGACAUUGUUGUCCCUGAGCGAUGCCGUAUUGCAACGAGUUUGCGUGUUGUAUGUGCUCGUUUGUCGGGUGCAAGCUAUUCAGCAACGGAUCUCUAUUUUGGCUUCUCUAAAUGUUCUGACGUUUCAGAAUCAAUGCGUGACCUUUUUGGUUCAAAGUGGCUCCAUUUGGGGAUACACUCCUGAUGUUGCGCGGAAUUAGUACUUCCGAUCACACGAUUAUUCGUGAUUGGGACGUUUAACAAUCUACUACCAUUAUCGUUGCUGUGCUCGUGAAGAUCGUUAUGUCUAGUGUAUUGGCGGUACAAUGGAUUCCUACCAUACAUUGGUCGAUAACCCUGAGAAGGCAUCAGUUUUAUCUUUGGUAUGGACGAACGUUUAUCGAGUUGAUAUUGGAGAAUCUGCCUAACCUUUCAGCAAGAGCCCUAAACCAGAUGAUACCGGAUUUUAGCCGUUGACCUACGGCGAAGUCCGUUCCGAGAAUUCGUUCCUAACCUCAUUGUAGAACAAUCGCUUGCCUUACUAACCAUACAAUUAUUUACAUAUAACAUUAUAUUCUAAGAUACAUUAUGUACAUAAAUAUGAUUUAAGCAUACUUGGCAAAGUAUAACGUUGAUUUCAGUUGACAUUCAGCGUAGUGGUGCAUAGAUGCGAUGAAAAGAUGAUUUUAUUAGUAACUAUAUCUGUAACAUUACGUAUAAGUGUGAACCAUACAAUGCUUCUUUAUGCUGGGUAUGUCUGCGGUGAAGCCUACGAAUCAUUGCUUCCGGCGUUAUGACAAUCGUUCCUUUUCCUUCCCGAUUUUUAAUUAUUCCGUACACAUAUGAGAGGCACCACAGAGGAGCUUUUCUUCCGGAUUUGUUAGAUUUUUUAAGUUGACUCGGCCGAUAAUGGUUUUUAGGUGAUGAUGUUCCGUUUCCUCGCAGAAUCCAAAAUCGGCAGAGCAGUCACCUGGGUGUGUUAGAACGGAGUGGGACCCCACGAGUCAAGCCUUAGUGCAUUGAGCAUGCUGCACACCAGGCAGUGUCUAUGGGGGCAGAAUUUGAAAUCUGUUUUCGAUUUCUACUCCGUUUUACUAGGAUCAAUCUCGCUCGCAAAAGUUACAAGGAAUAAGCAUAACAGUAUAAAAACGAACAAAAGCAACCAUAAGGUAGAUCAAUUAAUCCUCUGGGCAAUAUUGUGACAUAGCGACCAUGUGUCAUAUCGUCUGUACCGUUUCUUCCUUUUCGCUGCAGCAGCGUAAUGCUUGGCAGCGAUUGUAAACUAGACAACGACGUGAGGCAUCUUCCUCCUACCUACCCUCUGGGGAACAGUGCUGGAGGCAGUCGGAUCAAGGUUAAGGUUUUAAUAAGUGAUAAAAUGUAGUAAAUGAGUAAUUCAGAGAUGCAGGUCGUACAGCUCUACCCUUUUCGAGAACCAUCGUCCCUGGGUGGACCAUGUGACAUAGAGAGAAGAGAUGUAAUGUAGAAGAAUCUAGACAAAUCUAGUGAAUGUUAGAGCCCAUCUCCCCUAAGAUAACAGUUUUAUGCAUUAUGUUAAACCAGGGUCUCAAACUUGCAGCCCGCGAAACAAUUUUGUGUAGUCGCGGCCAUAUGCGCGGUGGAUAUCUAUUUUGUGCAUUGUGAUAAGUUUUAUGUAUGGGCCCUAUAAUACAGGUGUUUAUUCCGGUUAGGCGAUUAGAUUAUAUUUUGGUUCCUAUUCCAGUGGGGCGAUAUGUUCAUAUUGUUCAUUCUGGCGACCGAUAUCGCCCAUAGACGACUGCUUGCCCGGCAGUGACAGUAAGCGCCAAAACGCCUCCGGUGUUAGCUAUCCCCUCACUGGAAUAGACACAUCAAUUCAAGUGGAGUCGAGUUAACUCAGCCAAGCGCUCGACUCUCGCUGCGACACAUGAGUGAACAAAAAAAGUUAAUACUAAGGCUCCGCCGCAUGAAGCGUUAAAGCUAGCGGAAAGGCAAAGACUAUGCCAAAUCGUUUAUGCUUACCGUUUACACGCUGUCAUUAAAUGUAUAAGUCCGCAGAGCGUAAAACAGCGUGUAAAAGAUGUUUGCGAACGCUGGUGUUCGCUAUGUGUUCCUUUUUGUGGUUUGUAUCGAUAGUAUGUGUUGGUAGUGAGUUAAUUCAAAUCCUUUCUUCAGCAAAAAUAUCCAAAUUAUGUCGCGAAAGUCGAAAGUGCAAUCUGGUUUGCAAAUCACAAUCCGUAAACCACGUAAACAUAUUCAAGCGUAAACGAUUAGGCAUUACUCGGUCUUCACACACGCCAAAAGUUUUGCAUGCGAUGUGGUAAAACAAAACUCAUUUUUACAGCGGUGGCGUGUUAAACUUAAGGUGCUUAUUUCAGUGAGAUGAUAGCUAACGCCUGAGGCGUUUUGGCGCUUGCUGUCACUAUCUCGCAAGCACUCGCCUAUCGGCGAUAAUGAACAAUACGAACAUAUCGCCUCGAGGCGAUGGCUAUCGCCUCACUGGAAUAAUGCACCUAAGACUUUUUCGAUCACUCAAUAGCUCAAUGGGAGCACCUAUGUCAGUCUUUACCAAAGUUAUGUUUUGUGUGUUUCACUGUAUCGAUGUUGAGCUAAACAGAGCUAUUGUCGAUUGGCUGUGACAACCGUCUCUACAUAUACCAGUAUUUUUUAUGUAUGGACCUUUCCAUGCGAUGUGAAAAUUUCCACUUCGCAUGCAACAUUUUAAGCAUGUGUAGAGAUUGUGUUACCCUCUGUCCACGCUACCAUUUUAAUAGACUAUAUGUGUCUAUUCGUCCGAUUUGAAUUUGAGUACGGCAGCUGAAACUGUGUCUUUUUGGUGUAAAUAAGGGCAGUAUCAUAACGAUAAAGUACCACAUUUCAUCAUAUUUCUUACGCUCACGGUAACCCAUAGAGCUCUAAAAAAAAGGACCAUGUUGAUAUAGAUACAUUAUCUCUAUUGUAAUGGUAGUGUGGACAGAAGAUUACACUUUGCUUUUACGGUAAGUUUUACGCUUCAUCUGGCAUCGAGUACAGAGUGCGAAUGAGAAUACGAGAAAUAUUUCCUGAUAUUAAACCGGAUGCAAUCUGGAUUCACAUUUGAAUCAGACUUUGUUUCAAGAAAGCCUUGUUAACGUUGUUAUAAAGUGAAUAAAAGUGCAGCUGUAACAGAAAAAAUGAUAUGCUCAAUGAUGGAUUGUUUUAAUGAAAUCGCAAAACUUCAACCCCGAUUCCAAGUCGAUUGCAUUCACGAUCGCCUUCAUCGUUCAUGAUAGCAAGCGUCAAAACGGCUCAGGCGUUAACUAUCGUCUCGCUGAGAGAAAUUUCAAUGUAGUCGACUCCACUCGGAUUGUAUUGUAGGGCUCUAUGUUGUAUGUAUGUUAUAUAAAUGUAUGUUAUGUCGUAUAAUAUGUGUGUACUGCUUGGUGAUAGGUGAGUUAUCUGCGGUGUG